UCCGAUAUGGUGUAGUGGCCAACAUGAUGCCCUCUCAAUCACRGUGCUGAACUGUGAAAUGGAAAGGCAUAGCCCCGAGUUCGAUUCUCGGUUUCGGAA
rnacentral:tRNA from 2 species